rnacentral:tRNA from 1 species
GGCGAGACGGCCGAGCGGCAAAAGAAGAUGGUUUUAGGCACCAGUCCCUUCGGGGGCGUGGGAACGAAUCCCACUCUCGUCA